GUCCCAUUAGCCCAAUUGGCAGAGGCGUCUGACUUAGGAUCAGAUCAGUGCAGGUUCGAAUCCUGUGUGGGGCACCA
rnacentral:tRNA from 1 species